rnacentral:tRNA from 1 species
GCCGAAAUAGGUCAGAUGGGAGAACGUCAGACUGAAGAUGUGAAAGUCCCUGGCUCAAUCCCGGGUUUCGGCA